AUGACGAUCGCCGCCUAGAAUAGUAAUCAAAUCCAACCUCAGAAUUCAUAUCGAUAGAAUAUAUAACUUAUAUAAAAUACGUCACUACGUAGUUCGAUCCGGAAGAUCUGCCACUCAGAUUUUAAAUCCAUAACUUCCAGAGGUCCACAUAUAUCUCUAGGACAACAUCCUAAAAUUUCAUCACCAACCAACGGUCGGAUCUCCGUCAAUUUCCAAAACUAAGUGACGGUUAACAUUUUAUAUUAUGGACUUACAAUUCCAAUUCCGGAAGAUCCGUAACUCGGAUUCCCAAUCCGUAAGUUCCAAUAAUCCUCGAAUAUUACGUAUUACAACGUAUCAAAGUUUGGUAACGAUCCAACGGUCGGAUCGUCAAUUCACAUUUUUACCUAAAUGUGAAAACUAUAAAACGUUAUUCGAACACCUAACCAACAAUCCUUAAUAACUUUCUCAUACGGUGCUCAAUUUGGGUAUAUGAAUAUACCACGGUGAUCUACUCGACGUCACGGACGUCGACAUAUUUUUUAAAAUAAUUUUAUUUUUAUUUAUUUUAUUUUUUACUGUAGCACCUUCUUCUUCCUUGGGUCGCCGGACUGGUUUUUCCGGCGGCCGUUUUCCGGGCAGUUUUUCAAAUUGCCAUAACUUUGUCAUUUCUCAACGAAAUCAAGUGAUUCAAAAACGAGAGUUGUAGCCCUUGAAGAGACAAAGAGAAUGGUACCUUGCACAACACCUAGUCGCCGUGGUUUGGCCGGAAACUGCCUCGAAAGCCUCGGAGGUCGCCGGAAACUGGGUAUUUUUCAAAUGAGUAUAACUUCUUCAAUACUCAACGAAAUUGAGUGAAACAAAAAGGAAAGUUGUAGUACUUGACGAGACGAAGAGAUUGAUACCUACCUCGACUCCUAACUCGCCGGGGAUUCGCCGGAAAGAGCCUCGAAAGUUCCGGCCAAACUUUGAACUUGUCGAUCUCCGUGUUCUUACGUCCAAAAACUUCUAACGAAGCACUCCGAGCUUCCUUGGGACCUCACUAAGCUCACUAUGAGCUUGGAUUGUC
rnacentral:lncRNA from 1 species